AGGAUGAACGCUAGCGGCAGGCUUAAUACAUGCAAGUCGUGGGGCAGCGCAGUGUAGCAAUACAUGGGCGGCGACCGGCAAACGGGUGCGGAACACGUACACAACCUUCCUACAAGUGGGGAAUAGCCCAGAGAAAUUUGGAUUAAUACCCCGUAACAUAUAAAGAUGGCAUCAUUUUUAUAUUAUAGCUACGGCGCUUGUUGAUGGGUGUGCGGCUGAUUAGGUAGUUGGCGGGGUAAUGGCCCACCAAGCCUGCGAUCAGUAGCUGAUGUGAGAGCAUGAUCAGCCACACGGGCACUGAGACACGGGCCCGACUCCUACGGGAGGCAGCAGUAAGGAAUAUUGGACAAUGGGCGCAAGCCUGAUCCAGCCAUGCCGCGUGAAGGAUUAAGGUCCUCUGGAUUGUAAACUUCUUUUAUAAGGGACGAAAAAGGGAAUUCUUUCUCACUUGACGGUACCUUAUGAAUAAGCACCGGCUAACUCCGUG
rnacentral:rRNA from 1 species